GACGAACGCUGGCGGCGUGCUUAACACAUGCAAGUCGAACGGAAAGGCCCUUCGGGGUACUCGAGUGGCGAACGGGUGAGUAACACGUGGGUGAUCUGCCCUGCACUUUGGGAUAAGCCUGGGAAACUGGGUCUAGUACCGAAUAGGACCACGCGCUUCAUGGUGUGUGGUGGAAAGCUUUUGCGGUGUGGGAUGGGCCCGCGGCCUAUCAGCUUGUUGGUGGGGUAAUGGCCUACCAAGGCGACGACGGGUAGCCGGCCUGAGAGGGUGACCGGCCACACUGGGACUGAGAUACGGCCCAGACUCCUACGGGAGGCAGCAGUGGGGAAUAUUGCACAAUGGGCGCAAGCCUGAUGCAGCGACGCCGCGUGAGGGAUGACGGCCUUCGGGUUGUAAACCUCUUUCAAUAGGGACGAAGCGCAAGUGACGGUACCUAUAGAAGAAGCACCGGCCAACUACGUGCCGGCAGCCGCGGUAAUACGUAGGGUGCGAGCGUUGUCCGGAAUUACUGGGCGUAAAGAGCUCGUAGGUGGUUUGUCGCGUUGUUCGUGAAAACUCACAGCUUAACUGUGGGCGUGCGGGCGAUACGGGCAGACUAGAGUACUGCAGGGGAGACUGGAAUUCCUGGUGUAGCGGUGGAAUGCGCAGAUAUCAGGAGGAACACCGGUGGCGAAGGCGGGUCUCUGGGCAGUAACUGACGCUGAGGAGCGAAAGCGUGGGGAGCGAACAGGAUUAGAUACCCUGGUAGUCCACGCCGUAAACGGUGGGUACUAGGUGUGGGUUCCUUCCUUGGGAUCCGUGCCGUAGCUAACGCAUUAAGUACCCCGCCUGGGGAGUACGGCCGCAAGGCUAAAACUCAAAGGAAUUGACGGGGGCCCGCACAAGCGGCGGAGCAUGUGGAUUAAUUCGAUGCAACGCGAAGAACCUUACCUGGGUUUGACAUGCACAGGACGCCGGCAGAGAUGUCGGUUCCCUUGUGGCCUGUGUGCAGGUGGUGCAUGGCUGUCGUCAGCUCGUGUCGUGAGAUGUUGGGUUAAGUCCCGCAACGAGCGCAACCCUUGUCCUAUGUUGCCAGCGGGUUAUGCCGGGGACUCGUAGGAGACUGCCGGGGUCAACUCGGAGGAAGGUGGGGAUGACGUCAAGUCAUCAUGCCCCUUAUGUCCAGGGCUUCACACAUGCUACAAUGGCCGGUACAAAGGGCUGCGAUGCCGUGAGGUGGAGCGAAUCCUUUCAAAGCCGGUCUCAGUUCGGAUCGGGGUCUGCAACUCGACCCCGUGAAGUCGGAGUCGCUAGUAAUCGCAGAUCAGCAACGCUGCGGUGAAUACGUUCCCGGGCCU
rnacentral:rRNA from 1 species